rnacentral:misc_RNA from 1 species
UUGCUAUAAAUCGUUAAAGAGUUCCCUCGACUAACUUUUGUCUCCAUCAUCAGACUGUAAUGGCACUUGUAACUCAUACAGGUGCAAAGUUCUCAUCAAUAAAAACGAAUUAAGUUCAAAAAGCAGGUAAUUGCUAUAAAUUGUUGAAGAGUUCCCUCGACUAUCUUUCUUCUUCAUCAUCAGAUCGACUCCAGACCUUUAUUAAAUAGUAGUGCUUUAUAGUACUUAAUGAAAACAUGAUUAAAUUUACUAGUCACCCUUACGAUUUUUGAAAGUUUCCCUCGAUUUCUCUGGGAUCCCAUCAUCAGAUCCUGGUUUCCUUAUCAUGGUACCAAACUAUGAAUAUCUCCUUUCGAACAAAAAAAGAAUUAUCAAAAUCGGUUCAUAAACGAAGAAGUUAUCUCCGAACAUACAUAAAA